UAGAGUUUGAUCAUGGCUCAGAACGAACGCUGGCGGCAGGCUUAACACAUGCAAGUCGAACGCCCUGGUAACGGGGAGUGGCAGACGGGUGAGUAACACGUGGGAACAUACCCUUUGGUGCGGAACAACAGCUGGAAACGGCUGCUAAUACCGCAUGCGCCCUACGGGGGAAAGAUUUAUCGCCGAAGGAUUGGCCCGCGUCUGAUUAGCUAGUUGGUGGGGUAAUGGCUCACCAAGGCGACGAUCAGUAGCUGGUCUGAGAGGAUGAUCAGCCACACUGGGACUGAGACACGGCCCAGACUCCUACGGGAGGCAGCAGUGGGGAAUAUUGGACAAUGGGCGCAAGCCUGAUCCAGCCAUGCCGCGUGAGUGAUGAAGGCCCUAGGGUUGUAAAGCUCUUUCAGCGAGGAGGAUAAUGACGUUACUCGCAGAAGAAGCCCCGGCUAACUUCGUGCCAGCCGCCGCGGUAAUACA
rnacentral:rRNA from 2 species